GGGGAUGUAGUAUAACUUGGCUAUUAUGAUCGGCUCCAACCCGAUCGAUCUGGGUUCAAAUCCCAGCGUCCCCA
rnacentral:tRNA from 1 species